rnacentral:rRNA from 1 species
UACGGAGGGUGCAAGCGUUAAUCGGAAUUACUGGGCGUAAAGCGUGCGCAGGCGGUUUGUUAAGUCUGUUGUGAAAUCCCCGAGCUCAACUUGGGAAUUGCAAUGGAUACUGGCAGGCUGGAGUAUGGUAGAGGAAGGUGGAAUUCCCGGUGUAGCAGUGAAAUGCAUAGAGAUCGGGAGGAACACCAGUGGCGAAGGCGGCCAUCUGGGACAACACUGACGCUGAAGCACGAAAGCGUGGGGAGCAAACAGG